AUACGUAGGUGACAAGCGUUAUCCGGAUUUACUGGGCGUAAAGGGCGUGUAGGCGGUCUUGCAAGUCAGAAGUGAAAUUCCUGAGCUCAACUCGGGCGCUGCUUCUGAAACUGCAGGACUUGAGUGCUGGAGGGGAUAGCGGAAUUCCUAGUGGAGCGGUAAAAUGCGCAGAUAUCUGGAAGAACACCGAUGGCGAAGGCAGGCAUCUGGCCGGAGACUGACGCUGAGGCGCGAAGGCGCGGGGAGCGAACAGGUUUAGAUACCCUGGUAGUCCGCGCAGUAAACGAUGCGCACCAGGUGUCGGGCGGCAGCGCCCGGUACCGGAGCUAACGCGAUGAGUGCGCCGCCUGGGGAGUAUGCCCGCAAGGGUGAAACUCAAAUGAAUUGACGGGG
rnacentral:rRNA from 1 species